rnacentral:rRNA from 1 species
UACGUAGGGUGCAAGCGUUGUCCGGAAUUAUUGGGCGUAAAGAGCUCGUAGGCGGUCUGUCGCGUCGGCUGUGAAAACCUAGGGCUCAACCCUGGGCCUGCAGCCGAUACGGGCAGACUAGAAUUCGGUGGGGGAGACUGGAAUUCCUGGUGUAGCGGUGAAAUGCGCAGAUAUCAGGAGGAACACCGGUGGCGAAGGCGGGUCUCUGGGCCGAUAUUGACGCUGAGGAGCGAAAGCGUGGGGAGCGAACAGG